GCGGUAAUACCAGCUCUCCGAGUGGUAGGGACGAUUAUUGGGCUUAAAGCGUCCGUAGCCGGCUUAGCAAGCCUCCUGUUAAAUUCAACGACCUAAUCGUUGAGCCGCGGGAGAUACUACUAGGCUAGGAGGCGGGAGAGGCCGACGGUAUUCUCGGGGUAGGGGUGAAAUCCUAUAAUCCCGG
rnacentral:rRNA from 1 species